UACGGAGGGUGCAAGCGUUAUCCGGAUUCACUGGGUUUAAAGGGUGCGUAGGCGGAUAGGUAAGUCCGUGGUGAAAUCCUGCAGCUUAACUGCAGAACUGCCGUGGAUACUAUCUAUCUUGAAUGUCGUGGAGGUUAGCGGAAUAUGUCAUGUAGCGGUGAAAUGCUUAGAUAUGACAUAGAACACCAAUUGCGAAGGCAGCUGGCUACACGAAUAUUGACACUGAUGCACGAAAGCGUGGGGAUCAAACAGG
rnacentral:rRNA from 1 species